GUGGGGAAUAUUGGACAAUGGGCGCAAGCCUGAUCCAGCAAUGCCGCGUGGGUGAAGAAGGCCUUCGGGUUGUAAAGCCCUUUUGUACGGAAAGAAAUCCUGGUGGUUAAUACCCGCCGGGGAUGACGGUACCGUAAGAAUAAGCACCGGCUAACUUCGUGCCAGCAGCCGCGGUAAUACGAAGGGUGCAAGCGUUAAUCGGAAUUACUGGGCGUAAAGCGUGCGUAGGUGGUUUCUUAAGUCUGUCGUGAAAGCCCUGGGCUCAACCUGGGAAUGGCGAUGGAUACUGGGAGGCUAGAGUGCGGUAGAGGAUGGCGGAAGUCCCGGUGUAGCGGUGAAAUGCGUAGAGAUCGGGAGGAACAUCUGUGGCGAAGGCGGCCAUCUGGACCAGCACUGACACUGAGGCACGAAAGCGUGGGGAGCAAACAGGAUUAGAAACCCGAGUAGUCC
rnacentral:rRNA from 1 species